rnacentral:lncRNA from 1 species
CUGCGAAAAUGACGCGGAAGCCCGGUGCUACGGCCCACGUGAUGCUAUUAGGCCAAUAGCGACGCGGCGUCGGCCUCGUACAGGACGCGCGAGGAGGCAGCGGUAUUCUUCAAAGCGUAUCGCUACUU